CGAACGCUGGCGGCGUGCUUAACACAUGCAAGUCGAACGCUGAAGCCCAGCUUGCUGGGUGGAUGAGUGGCGAACGGGUGAGUAACACGUGAGUAACCUGCCCCCUUCUUUGGGAUAACGCCCGGAAACGGGUGCUAAUACUGGAUAUUCACUGGCCUUCGCAUGGGGGUUGGUGGAAAGGUUUUUUCUGGUGGGGGAUGGGCUCGCGGCCUAUCAGCUUGUUGGUGGGGUGAUGGCCUACCAAGGCUUUGACGGGUAGCCGGCCUGAGAGGGUGACCGGUCACAUUGGGACUGAGAUACGGCCCAGACUCCUACGGGAGGCAGCAGUGGGGAAUAUUGCACAAUGGGCGAAAGCCUGAUGCAGCGACGCCGCGUGAGGGAUGACGGCCUUCGGGUUGUAAACCUCUUUCGCUCAUGGUCAAGCCGCAACAGUGGUUGUGGUGAGGGUAGUGGGUAAAGAAGCGCCGGCUAACUAC
rnacentral:rRNA from 1 species